rnacentral:lncRNA from 1 species
CGAGUCGCUGCGAGCCGGCCUCAGGCAGGCCGCGGCCUCCUGGCGCGGGGCUGACCGCUGAGCAGAGCUGAGCCGACUCAGGGGAGGGAGCAUGUGGCUGCGACUGCGGUGACAGGGCCGUGGCCCGCUGUGGAGGCGCAAGACAGAGCGUGAGACGUAGGAAAUGCACAUUUGAAAUGUAUGGCAACAACUUCUGCAGCCGGCGAAACGCGAACCGUGGCCUCUUGGCCUUGCCCCCUCACCGCCGCGGCUCUCGUUGCAGUCAAGAGUGCCUGGCACGCUUUGCACUGAGGCGCACGGGGAGGCCCGGGAACCGAGCGAGCGGCAGUUUCGCGGGACACCGCUGGGCCCCGCCUCCCCUCCCUUCCCUCCCCUCCCCUUCCCUCCUCUCCCUCCACUCCCCUCCCCUCCGUCCCCUCCCCUCGACCACCCCGUCCCCUGCCCUCCCCUUCUCUCGACCAGCCCGUCCCCUGCCCUCCCCUCCCCUCCCCUCGACCAGCCCGUCCCCUCCCCUCCUCUUCCCUCGGCCAGCCCCUCCCCUCGGCCAGCCCUUCCCCUCGACCAACCCCUCUCCUCGACCGGCCCCUCCCCUCGACCGGCCCCUCCCCUUGGCCGGGCCCUCCCCUUGACCGGCCCCUCCCCUCGACCGGCCCCUCCCCUCGGCCGGCCCCUUCCCUCGGCCAGCCCCUCCCCUCGACCAGCCCCUCCCCUCGACCAGCCCCUCCCCUCAC